GACGAACGCUGGCGGCAUGCUUCAUACAUGCAAGUCGAACGAUAAGGUCUCUUCGGAGAUACAUAAGUGGCGGACGGGUGAGUAAUAUGUAGGAAAUCUGCCCUUGAGAGGGGGACAACAGAGGGAAACUUCUGCUAAUACCCCAUAUGAGCGUACCUGAAAUGGUAUUCUUGAAAACUCCGGUGCUCAAGGAUGAGCCUGCAUCUGAUUAGCUAGUUGGCGGUGUAAUGGACCACCAAGGCGACGAUCAGUAGCUGGUUUGAGAGGAUGAUCAGCCACAAUGGGACUGAGACACGGCCCAUACUCCUAACGGGAGGCAGCAGUAGGGGAAUAUUGCGCAAUGGGGGAAACCCUGACGCAGCAAUGCCGCGUGAAGGAUGAAGGUUUUCGGAUUGUAAAACUUCUUUUACUGAGGACGAAACAAAUGACGGUACUCAGAGAAUAAGCCACGGCUAACUACGUGCCAGCAGCCGCGGU
rnacentral:rRNA from 1 species